UCGAACGAUGAAGCCCUUCGGGGUGGAUUAGUGGCGAACGGGUGAGUAACACGUGGGCAAUCUGCCCUUCACUCCGGGACAAGCCCUGGAAACGGGGUCUAAUACCGGAUAAUACUUCUUCGGGCAUCCGAAGAGGUUGAAAGCUCCGGCGGUGAAGGAUGAGCCCGCGGCCUAUCAGCUUGUUGGUGGGGUAAUGGCCCACCAAGGCGACGACGGGUAGCCGGCCUGAGAGGGCGACCGGCCACACUGGGACUGAGACACGGCCCAGACUCCUACGGGAGGCAGCAGUGGGGAAUAUUGCACAAUGGGCGCAAGCCUGAUGCAGCGACGCCGCGUGAGGGAUGACGGCCUUCGGGUUGUAAACCUCUUUCAGCAGGGAAGAAGCGCAAGUGACGGUACCUGCAGAAGAAGCGCCGGCUAACUACGUGCCAGCAGCCGCGGUAAUACGUAGGGCGCAAGCGUUGUCCGGAAUUAUUGGGCGUAAAGAGCUCGUAGGCGGCCUGUCGCGUCGGAUGUGAAAGCCCGGGGCUUAACCCCGGGUCUGCAUUCGAUACGGGCAGGCUAGAGUGUGGUAGGGGAGAUCGGAAUUCCUGGUGUAGCGGUGAAAUGCGCAGAUAUCAGGAGGAACACCGGUGGCGAAGGCGGAUCUCUGGGCCAUUACUGACGCUGAGGAGCGAAAGCGUGGGGAGCGAACAGGAUU
rnacentral:rRNA from 1 species